rnacentral:sRNA from 1 species
AAAAUAAGUCUAUAAAUGAGUCUUUCAAUGUGCUUUUAAAAGUAAUUGGCAAGGAAUUACUAUAAAUAUUAGUUUAUAUUUUACACAACAGCAACAGUAUUUUCUUCUUAACAAUCACUCCUUCCCGGGGCAUGUAAUUAAUUUAUG